AGCACUUGCAUAUGUUUUUGUUCAGCUGGUGGACAAAGGCACAUUAGACAGGUGCAAAAAUAAAUCCUCUUUUGCAACCCAGAACUCAUUGUCAAGUAUGAGUUUUGAUACAUAUAAGAAGGAAUAGA
ensembl:snoRNA small nucleolar RNA SNORA40